AGUGAACGCUGGCGGUAGGCCUAACACAUGCAAGUCGAACGGCAGCACAGUAAGAGCUUGCUCUUACGGGUGGCGAGUGGCGGACGGGUGAGGAAUACAUCGGAAUCUACUUUUUCGUGGGGGAUAACGUAGGGAAACUUACGCUAAUACCGCAUACGACCUACGGGUGAAAGCAGGGGAUCUUCGGACCUUGCGCGAUUGAAUGAGCCGAUGUCGGAUUAGCUAGUUGGCGGGGUAAAGGCCCACCAAGGCGGCGAUCCGUAGCUGGUCUGAGAGGAUGAUCAGCCACACUGGAACUGAGACACGGUCCAGACUCCUACGGGGGGCAGCAGUGGGGAAUAUUGGACAAUGGGCGCAAGCCUGAUCCAGCCAUACCGCGUGGGUGAAGAAGGCCUUCGGGUUGUAAAGCCCUUUUGUUGGGAAAGAAAAGCAGCAGGUUAAUACCCCGCUGUUCUGACGGUACCCAAAGAAUAAGCACCGGCUAACUUCGUG
rnacentral:rRNA from 1 species